rnacentral:rRNA from 1 species
CCUACGGGGGCAGCAGUGGGGAAUAUUGGACAAUGGGCGAAAGCCUGAUCCAGCCAUGCCGCGUGUGUGAAGAAGGCCUUCGGGUUGUAAAGCACUUUCAGUGGGGAAGAAAGCCUUGGGGCUAAUACCCUCGAGGAAGGACAUCACCCACAGAAGAAGCACCGGCUAACUCCGUGCCAGCAGCCGCGGUAAUACGGAGGGUGCGAGCGUUAAUCGGAAUUACUGGGCGUAAAGCGCGCGUAGGCGGUCUGAUAAGCCGGUUGUGAAAGCCCCGGGCUCAACCUGGGAACGGCAUCCGGAACUGGCAGGCUAGAGUGCAGGAGAGGAAGGUAGAAUUCCCGGUGUAGCGGUGAAAUGCGUAGAGAUCGGGAGGAAUACCAGUGGCGAAGGCGGCCUUCUGGACUGACACUGACGCUGAGGUGCGAAAGCGUGGGUAGCAAACAGGAUUAGAUACCCGAGUAGUC